rnacentral:rRNA from 1 species
CGGCAUGGAUUAGGCAUGCAAGUCGCGCGACAAGGCCCUUUUAGCUUGCUAAAAGGGCUGGAGGAGCGGCGUAAGGGUGAGUAACGCGUGGAUCACCUACCCUCAGGUGCGGGAUAGCGGCGGGAAACUGCCGGUAAUACCGCAUAACAUCUCCGGAUCAAAGCUCCGGCGCCUGGGGACGGGUCCGCGUACCAUUAGCUUGUUGGCGGGGUAAAAGCCCACCAAGGCUGAGAUGGUUAGUGGGCGUGAGAGCGUGGCCCACCACACUGGGACUGAGACACUGCCCAGACACCUACGGGUGGCUGCAGUCGAGAAUCUUUGUCAAUGGACGAAAGUCUGAACAAGCGAUGCCGCGUGCGGGAUGAAGGCCUUCGGGUUGUAAACCGCUGUCAGAGGGGAGCAAAUUUUGAGCGAUCCUCAGAGGAAGCCCGGGCUAAGUUCGUGCCAGCAGCCGCGGUAACACGAACCGGGCGAACGUUAUUCGGAAUUACUGGGCUUAAAGGGUGCGUAGGCGGCGCUAUAAGUCGGGUGUGAAAUCCCACGGCUCAACCGUGGAACUGCGCCCGAUACUGUAGUGCUUGAGGAAGAUAGAGGUGAGCGGAACGAAUGGUGGAGCGGUGAAAUGCGUUGAUAUCAUUCGGAACACCCGUGGCGAAAGCGGCUCACUGGGUCUUUUCUGACGCUGAGGCACGAAAGCUA